CGGACGGGUGAGUAACGCGUGGAUAACCUACCCUUUAGAUUGGGACAACAGCUGGAAACGGCUGCUAAUACCGAAUGUGACUAUUGAUAGACAUCUAUCGAUAGGGAAAGAUGGCUGAGCUUAGAUGCUAUCGUUAAAGGAUGGAUCCGCGUCUGAUUAGCUAGUUGGUAGGGUAGAGGCCUACCAAGGCAACGAUCAGUAGCCGACCUGAGAGGGUGACCGGCCACACUGGGACUGAGACACGGCCCAGACUCCUACGGGAGGCAGCAGUGGGGAAUUUUCCGCAAUGGGCGAAAGCCUGACGGAGCAACGCCGCGUGAAUGAAGAAGGCCUUCGGGUCGUAAAGUUCUGUCAUAAGGGAAGAAAGUGCCAUAUGUAAAUAAUGUAUGGUAUUGACGGUACCUUAGGAGGAAGCCACGGCUAACUACGUGCCAGCAGCCGCGGUAAUACGUAGGUGGCGAGCGUUGUCCGGAAUUACUGGGCGUAAAGGGCGCGUAGGCGGGAAUACAAGUCAGAUGUGAAAACUCCGGGCUUAACUUGGAGACUGCAUUUGAAACUGUAUUUCUUGAGGACAGGAGAGGAAAGCGGAAUUCCUAGUGUAGCGGUGAAAUGCGUAGAUAUUAGGAGGAACACCAAUGGCGAAGGCGGCUUUCUGGACUGUAACUGACGCUGAGGCGCGAAAGCGUGGGGAGCAAACGGGAUUAGAUACCCCGGUAGUCACGCCGUAAACGAUGGGUACUAGGUGUAGGAGGUAUCGACCCCUUCUGUGCCGGGGUUAACGCAAUAAGUACCCCACCUGGGGAGUACGAUCGCAAGGUUGAAACUCAAAGGAAUUGACGGGGA
rnacentral:rRNA from 1 species